GAUGAACGUUGGCGGUGUGCCUAAUACAUGCAAGUCGAACGGUGGUUAUUUUGUAGUAAUACGAAGUGAUCAUAGUGGCGAACGGGUGAGUAACGCGUUGGUGAUCUGCCUCGAAGUGUGGAAUAACGUUCCGAAAGGAACGCUAAUACCGCAUGUGCUCUCGAUUUUUAGAAAGUUGAGAGUAAAGGAUUUAUUCGCUUCGAGAGGAGCCUGCGUCCCAUCAGCUAGUUGGUAGGGUAAUAGCCUACCAAGGCUUUGACGGGUAGGGGACCUGAGAGGGUGGCCCCCCACAAUGGAACUGAAACACGGUCCAUACACCUACGGGUGGCAGCAGUAGGGAAUAUUAGAAAUGGACGAAAGUCUGAUCUAGCGACACCGCGUGUGCGAUGAAGGCCUU
rnacentral:rRNA from 1 species